rnacentral:rRNA from 1 species
UGCCAGCAGCCGCGGUAAUACGUAGGGGGCAAGCGUUAUCCGGAUUUACUGGGUGUAAAGGGUGCGUAGGCGGCGAAGUAAGUCAGAUGUGAAAGCCCGAAGCUCAACUUCGGGACUGCAUUUGAAACUGCUUUGCUAGAGUGCAGGAGAGGAAAGUGGAAUUUCUAGUGUAGCGGUGAAAUGCGUAGAUAUUAGGAGGAACACCAGUGGCGAAGGCGACUUUCUGGACUGUAACUGACGCUGAGGCACGAAAGCGUGGGGAGCAAACAGGAUUAGAUA